rnacentral:rRNA from 10 species
GCUUACGGCCAUACCACCCUGAACACGCCUGAUCUCGUGUGAUCUCGGAAGCUAAGCAGGGUCUGGCCUGGUUAGUACACGAACACGCACUUCAGAUCAGAUCGCUAUUUUUU